UACGAAGGGGGCGAGCGUUGUUCGGAUUUACUGGGCGUAAAGGGCGCGCAGGCGGCCUAUUUUGUCAGGCGUGAAAGCCCCGGGCCUAACCUGGGAACUGCGUUUGAUACGGAUGGGCUAGAGUUCGGGAGAGGAGAGUGGAAUUCCCAGUGUAGAGGUGAAAUUCGUAGAUAUGGGGAGGAACACCGGUGGCGAAGGCGGCCACCUGGACGGUAACUGACGCUGAGACGCGAAAGCGUGGGGAGCAAACAGG
rnacentral:rRNA from 1 species